rnacentral:rRNA from 1 species
GAUGAACGCUGGCGGCGUGCUUAACACAUGCAAGUCGAACGGAAAGGCGCUGCCAUCGCGGGGUGCUCGAGUGGCAAACGGGUGAGAAACACGUGAGUAACCUGGCUCGGGCUUUGGGAUAUAUCCAGGAAACUGCGGAUACUACCUGCUAGGAGCUCCUGCUGCCUGGUGGGGGUUGGAACGUUUCGGAGGUUGGGGAUGGACUUGCGGCUUAUCAGCUUGUUGGUGGGGGAGUGGCUUACCAAGUCUUUGACGGGUAGUCGGCCUGGGAGGGUGGCCGGGCACAUUGGGACUGAGAGACGGCGCAGACUCCUACGGGAGACAGCAGUGGGGAGUAUUGCACAGUGGGCGGGAGCCUAAGGCAGCGACGCCGCGUGCGGGAUGAGGUCCUUCGGGUUGUGAACCGCUUUCGCCUAUGACGAAGCGUGAAUGACGGUAAUGGGUAAAGAAGCACCGGCUAACUACGUG